GCCUAACUCAUAAUUUAUAAAAACCAUCAACCAUACAAAAACUAAUAAAACAUUUAUACUUUCCAGUAAAGGUGAUUGAAAAAACAUUAGAGCUAUAAAAAUACCGCAAGGGAAAAAUGAAAUAUAAUGAAAAACCUAAAGCCAAUUAUAUCAGAGACUAUAACUCGUACCUUUUGCAUCAUGGUCUAACUAGUCUAAUCAAGCAAAAUAAAAUUUUAGCGUGCAUUCCCGAAACUAAGCGAGCUACUUCAGAACAACCAAAAGAGCCAACCCGUCUCUGUAGCAAUAGAGUGGGACGAUUCUCAAGUAGAAGUGAAAAGCCUAUCGAGCUUAGAGAUAGCUGGUUAUUCAAGAAACGAAUAUUAGUUCACUCUUAAACACCCCCAUGAUAAAAACAACCCUAAAAAAUUUAAGUGAUAUUCAAUUAAGGCACAGCUUAUUUGAAAAAGGAUACAACCUUGAUAAAUGGGUAAAUUACAUAUAAACUAAAAAGUAGGCCUGAAAGCAGCCACCAACUUAAAAGCGUUAAAGCUUAAUAUUACUUCAAAAGAAUUCUUAAACUAAAUAUGAACCCAAAUUAACUACUGAAUGACCCCAUAAAAAUAUGGAAUCCAUUAUGUUAGAACUAGUAACUAGAAUUAAUUAAUUCUCCAAAAUGUAAGCAUAAACCAAUAUGGAUAAUCCACUGGUAAUUAACGAAAGUGAAUGAAUUACAAUACCCUUUCCCGAAAAACAUGUAAUAACCAAUCGUUAAUCUUACACUAGAACAUUAAUGGAAAGAUUAAAAGAAGGAGAAGGAACUCGGCAAAUCUCGGCCCCGCCUGUUUACCAAAAACAUCGCCUCUUGCUUAAUAUAAGAGGUCCAGCCUGCCCAGUGAAAAUUUAACGGCCGCGGUACCCUGACCGCGCGAAGGUAGCAUAAUCACUCGUUCUUUAAAUAAGGACUUGUAUCAACGGCAUCACGAGGGUCGCACUGUCUCCUCCUUCCAAUCAGUGAACCUGAUCUCUCCGUGAAGAAGCGGGGAUAAAAUUAUAAGACGAGAAGACCCCAUGGAGCUUUAAACCUAAAGCAAUCUAAUCAAAUAAAUCCCCAUAAAAAUUUUAAUAUGUUUACGGUUUUAGGUUGGGGUGACCGCGGAGUAAAAACAAACCUCCACAACGAAAAAUAAAUUUUAUUUAAGAGCUACUACUCUAAAAAUUAGUACACUAACGAACAAUGACCCGAUAAUCGAUCAAUGAACCAAGUUACCCUGGGGAUAACAGCGCAAUCUACUUCAAGAGCCCAUAUCGACAAGUAGGCUUACGACCUCGAUGUUGGAUCAGGGUAUCCCAGUGGUGCAACCGCUACUAAUGGUUCGUUUGUUCAACGAUUAAAAC
rnacentral:rRNA from 1 species